AAAACAUGGCUCCUUGGUGAUGAAAAAUAUAAAGAGUCGGACCUGCCCAGUGAGUGAAAUUUAACGGCCGCGGUACCCUGACCGUGCAAAGGUAGCAUAAUCAUUUGCCUUUUAAUUGAAGGCUAGAAUGAAUGGUUUGACGAAAACAAUACUGUCUCUUAUUUAUUAUUUAAAAAUUAAUUUUGAUGUGAAGAAGCAUUGAUUAUUCUAAAAGACAAGAAGACCCUAUUGAGCUUUAAUAAAUGUAAAGUGUACAGGUAUAGAUUAAAAGGUUAUUAUUUUAUAAAUAUUUUAGUUGGGGCGACUGAGGAACAAAAUAACUUCCUUUAAGUUAAGAAAAUAAUUAUUUUUAUUGACCCAAAAUGUUUUGAUUAAAAGAAUUAGUUACCAUAGGGAUAACAGCGUAAUCUUUUUUGAGAGUUCAUAUCGAAAAAAAGGCUUGCGACCUCGAUGUUGGAUUAAGAUUUCCGAUUGGUGUAGAAGCUUUUUAGGUUGGUCUGUUCGACCAUUAAAAUCUUACGUGAUCUGAGUUCAGACCGGGA
rnacentral:rRNA from 1 species